AGUGAACGCUGGCGGUAGGCCUAACACAUGCAAGUCGAACGGCAGCACAGUAAGAGCUUGCUCUUACGGGUGGCGAGUGGCGGACGGGUGAGGAAUACAUCGGAAUCUACUUUUUCGUGGGGGAUAACGUAGGGAAACUUACGCUAAUACCGCAUACGCCCUACGGGUGAAAGCAGGGGAUCUUCGGACCUUGCGCGAUUGAAUGAGCCGAUGUCGGAUUAGCUAGUUGGCGGGGUAAAGGCCCACCAAGGCGACGAUCCGUAGCUGGUCGGAGAGGAUGAUCAGCCACACUGGAACUGAGACACGGUCCAGACUCCUACGGGAGGCAGCAGUGGGGAAUAUUGGACAGUGGGCGCAAGCCUGAUCCAGCCAUACCGCGUGGGUGAAGAAGGCCUUCGGGUUGUAAAGCCCUUUUGUUGGGAAAGAAAAGCAGCAGGUUAAUACCCCGCUGUUCUGACGGUACCCAAAGAAUAAGCACCGGCUAACUUCGUG
rnacentral:rRNA from 1 species